UGCGUGUUUCUUGGACUGUUGAUGAUGAGUCACUGGCUGAUAUUAAUUACUUACCACCUGCUGCACCCUUAGACUAAGGACUUACUAUGCAUUUCGUUGUCCUCCCAACAGCUUUAUAUGAACCCUACACCUUGGCGCUUAUCUAUUGUCGACAUUCCCCAGCUCUCCUUUGUCAGUCCCCUAAGAGAAAGGUACCCACCAAGCGGAUCAUGAUCCACCAGUUAGAGCUUUGGGGUUUUGCUGCCUGGGUAGUUUUACAUUAUCUAGAGAAUGUCUUGUAUAUACAGUGUACCCAAAUAUUUGUUUAAUAAAAUAGUAGAUGGGGUCAUCAGUGCAUAUAAUCAAAAGCAGAUUCAAACAGUAGUGUCUGUCUGACUUUGCAGUAUGUUAUAUAACUUUCUCAGUGCAAGUUGACCUGUUUUCUCCUAAUAAUUGGUUGAUAAUCUUUGGAGAGACAUGACAUGUGCUUUUGUCUUUGGAUUCAAGAAGAGCCUUAAAAAUACCCUUUAGGCAUUACACACACACAUUUGCUAUUUUGUGUUAUAUAUUUUAUAUACUAAUUCACAUUGUAUUUUAUGUGUGUGACAUAUGCCACUGACAUUUUAGAAAUACAGUACGUUAGAUUCGUGUCAUACUGCCUUUCUGUAGAAUGUAAGUCAUGAGGGAAGAAUUUUGUCCAUUCACCACUCUGUCUUUGCAUCUAGAAAUGUGCCUGGCAUGGAGGAGGCACUCGAUAAAUGUUGUAAUUAAAAAGCUGAUGCUUUGUACAGCGUGGUGACUAUGGUUAACAAUAGCAACAGCAACAAAGUAAAUGCUUUUCAAUAAGAGGCUUAUUGUUAAUUUUAUUCGUAGAUUAGUGAAUACUCUAGUUUAAUUUAAAUGGCCUUAUUCAUUUUUAGUGAUUGUCAGACUAGACCUUAUAUUUCCUUUCUUUCUUUUUUUCUUCUUUUUUUUUUUUUUUUUUUAGGAAGAAUCCCCAGCACAAGAUAGAAUAUAGACAUAGUCCAUUUCCAGUGAGAAGCAUUUCAGAUGAAGACGGUAACGUUGGGCAACGCAGUGAGCACCCGCUGGAUGACAGUUUUCUAGAUGAUGAGGAGGAGGAAUACGAGCCAACAGAUGAAGAUUCCGACUGGGAGCCAGGAAAGGAAGACCUGGAGAAGGAAGACAUGGAGGAGCUUUUGAAAGAAGCAAAGAAGUUUAUGAAAAGAAAAAAAUAACUCUUCUCUGAGAUAAUAUAUGGCUCAUAUUUACUCUUUCCUUAUGGAAAAAUAAUGCAGGAACUAAGGAAGCACUUAAGCAAUAAUUAUUUUCUUUCUUUUUAUAGAUAGGACUCUACUAUUGACUCUCUGUAAAUGAAACAUGGAAAUGUCAACCUUCAGUGUAGUGGAUGGAAUUUGUUUUGUUGCUUUGCUUUUUCAUUCCUAUUUAAAGCAUCUAGAAAUAGUAAGCAGCCAGAGAACUAAAGAGAAAUAAUUGAUA